GGGCGUGUGGCUCAGUUGGUAGAGCGUUCGCUUAGCAUUUCCUGGGCCUUGUCUUGCGAGGUUUCUUCUGGUUGUGCGAAAGGUCCUGGGUUCGAUUCCCAGCUCGUCCA